AGCUGCUCCACUGAGAAACCAGAGCUGCUGUUACCAUUGCUGCAAGUCCACUUGAUGCCAUGAACUAGGAAGCGAGGAGACACAGCUGUCAGUUGUGACACCCACAUGUACCAGUGAACAUCCUGUGCAUUCUCUAUAAGGAGACUCCGGCGGGAAGCAUAUGUGUGAAGGAUUUCUGGUGGCUCUGGAGCCUGUCCCAGAAACAUUGGGCAGAAGAAUUCAUCCUGGAUGGGAGGUCAGUCCAUUGCAGAGCACCAUUCACAGUGGGAGGAAACUGGAGAAUCCGGAGAAAACCCAAGCGAACACCAGGAGAACAUGAGAAACUCAUGCACAGACAGUAACACAAGCUCAGGAUUGAACCAGGGAACCUGGGACCUGUGGGGCAGAAUUAAAGUGUACCCACUGCCAUGUGUCAUGGAAUCCCCUAUAUAAAUCUUGGACCCCAUUUUUGAUCUAUAGUUCUCUAUAAUAAAAAAAAACUAAUACUGUCAUGGAAUCCCCUAUAUAUACAUCAUGGACACACCUUGAGAACAAAGUAUUUCUAUAUAAUAAUAAAUAUAACUUGUCUGAAUUAUA